rnacentral:rRNA from 1 species
CCCAGUGGCGGACGGGUGAGUAACGCGUGGGCAACCUGCCCCGUGCCGGGGGAUACCGCCUGGAAACAGGCGCUAAUACCGCAUAAGCGCAUACAGCCGCAUGGGUGUAUGCGGAAAGCUCCGGCGGCACGGGAUGGGCCCGCGCCCGAUUAGCCAGUUGGCGGGGUAACGGCCCGCCAAAGCGACGAUCGGUAGCCGGCCUGAGAGGGCGGACGGCCACAUUGGGACUGAGACACGGCCCAAACUCCUACGGAAGGCAGCAG